AUCACUAGGGGAGCUUGUAGCUGAGAGGAUAUGUCCGACCCUUGGAACCUGAUCUAGGUCAUACUAGCGUAGGGAAGUGGUAAAGUAA
rnacentral:ncRNA from 1 species